AGUAAAGUGGCGACCGGGUGAGUAACACGUGACUAACCUACCUUUCGAGUGGGGGAUAACAUCGGGAAACCGAUGCUAAUACCGCAUAAUAUCGCAAGAUCAAAGCAGCAAUGCGCUUGAAGAGGGGGUCGCGGCUGAUUAGCUAGUUGGCGGGGUAACGGCCCACCAAGGCGAAGAUCGGUAGCCGGCCUGAGAGGGCGCACGGCCACACUGGAACUGAAACACGGUCCAG
rnacentral:rRNA from 1 species